CCUGAUCUAGCCAUGCCGCGUGAGUGAUGAAGGCCUUAGGGUCGUAAAGCUCUUUCGCCUGUGAUGAUAAUGACAGUAGCAGGUAAAGAAACCCCGGCUAACUCCGUGCCAGCAGCCGCGGUAAUACGGAGGGGGUUAGCGUUGUUCGGAAUUACUGGGCGUAAAGCGCGCGUAGGCGGAUUAGAAAGUUGGGGGUGAAAUCCCGGGGCUCAACCUCGGAACUGCCUCCAAAACUGCUAGUCUAGAGUUCGAGAGAGGUGAGUGGAAUUCCGAGUGUAGAGGUGAAAUUCGUAGAUAUUCGGAGGAACACCAGUGGCGAAGGCGGCUCACUGGCUCGAUACUGACGCUGAGGUGCGAAAGUGUGGGGAGCAAACAGGAUUAGAUACCCUGGUAGUCCACACCGUAAACGAUGAAUGCCAGUCGUCGGGUAGUAUACUAUUCGGUGACACACCUAACGGAUUAAGCAUUCCGCCUGGG
rnacentral:rRNA from 1 species